rnacentral:rRNA from 1 species
AGUGAACGCUGGCGGUAGGCCUAACACAUGCCAGUCGAACGGGAGCACAGUAAGAGCUUGCUCUUACGGGUGGCGAGUGGCGGACGGGUGAGGAAUACAUCGGAAUCUACUUUUUCGUGGGGGAUAACGUAGGGAAACUUACGCUAAUACCGCAUACGACCUACGGGUGAAAGCAGGGGAUCUUCGGACCUUGCGCGAUUGAAUGAGCCGAUGUCGGAUUAGCUAGUUGGCGGGGUAAAGGCCCACCAAGGCGACGAUCCGUAGCUGGUCUGAGAGGAUGAUCAGCCACACUGGAACUGAGACACGGUCCAGACUCCUACGGGAGGCAGCAGUGGGGAAUAUUGGACAAUGGGCGCAAGCCUGAUCCAGCCAUACCGCGUGGGUGAAGAAGGCCUUCGGGUUGUAAAGCCCUUUUGUUGGGAAAGAAAAGCAGCAGGUUAAUACCCCGCUGUUCUGACGGUACCCAAAGAAUAAGCACCGGCUAACUUCGUG